UCUUGUGUCCGUGCCGACGGGUUGAGGCCGCGCUGAGCUGGGCGUCGAUAUGGUGACCCCAGGGGAACCCGGUGGUGGUCAGGUCGCCUAAGGAGGAGCGAACCGGCCCAGGGCGGAAACGCAGCAGGCAAAAGUUCCCGCGUGCUGCAGUAGCGGGAUAGGACCUGUGAAUGGACGGCAUGGGGUAGCCCAACCGAUACAU
rnacentral:lncRNA from 1 species